GCGAAAUCGACCUCCUGAAGCCACAGUGGUACCUCCUCUGAUUGGAAGAUAUGGAUUGGAGGCCUGUUCUUGCCAAGCAGUAAAACAAAGUUGUAAAGCUAAUUGUAUAUUAUUUCUCAAUCAUUCUGCACAUCACAAGAUAUCUAUCACACCAUCUACUUAAGACAAAAGAGCUGUGUUUUCAUUUUAAAAGAACUGAAAAAGAGAGAUACUGAAAACAAGAAGAACUGAUAGAGCGGAAAAAGUGCUCCGUUUGGCAGAGAACGAGGAAGGGAGAAAACCGGAUUAACAUCUUGCAUUGGAGAGGCUGGGCAAUUGCUCCAUACAAGGAUAGAAACAACACAAAAGGCAACAAUGAAAGAAGGAGUGGGGAGAGGGUCACAAACAUUGAAAUGGGGACUAGAUUGUAAAAAGACUGAACAAGGAUUUAGCAGAAUCUGAAAUUAAUGUGAUAAAUGGGAAAUUAGUAAAUA